rnacentral:rRNA from 1 species
AUAUACACUUUAUACCACUCUGAAAACGCCUGACCUCGUCUGAUCUCAGAAGCUAAGCAGGGUUCGGCUCAGUUAGUACUUGGAUGGGAGACUGACUGAGAAUCCCGGGUGCUGUAGGCU